rnacentral:lncRNA from 1 species
GUGGCAGUGUGGGCAUACAGAAUUACAACUACAAAUUCCGUAGUACCCUAUCUUAACGUGAUUUAUGCGUUUCACAUUUUCGAACCAUAGCCCAGUCAGAUAAAGUAAACCUGUGAGCUUUAGUAUUGUAUGUUUAAUAUUAAUGUGUGGUAACUUAUCAUCGUAGUGUUAUCGAUCAUGCGAUUAAAAAAAUACACUUUAGACUACAUAUCCCAAGGGGUAAAGCCCUCUUUAUCACCGUAUCCAGGAAGUCAUUUGCCGUUGCCAAGCAAACUUGUGCGUGUCUUUGCAAAUGUUCUCUGAAGAAUGUGCACUUCACACGUUUACGAAUGUAGCUAGCUAUCUAAGGUGUCCGUGAGCGAUGAGUUGUUCCCAGGACUCUGUACCUUUGGCGCGGCCGGGCACAGAGAAGGUACUGGUGACUUAGCUGAGUGGGUCUGGUCAUAUGAACCCAACCCCUGCUGCUUACAAGGACUCUGACAUGCUGGUGGAGCUCUACCUCUCUACAGAAAAGCUGGAGGUCUACCCCGGGGGAUGGUAAUAGAGGGGAGCUACGUGAGGCGACGUUGGCUCCCUCUGCUGGGAAUACAGGAGCUGGGCACCCCGACAUGGACAGCUAAGUGGAGGUCAUUUAGAGGAAAGUGCCAACCAGCCGUGGAGGCUAAAUAAAAGGAGCACGAAGGCACACCACGGGAGAGACGGACACCAGAGAAGAG